rnacentral:rRNA from 1 species
ACACGUAGGGGGCAAGCGUUAUCCGGAUUUAUUGGGUUUAAAGGGUGCGCAGGCGGCCAUUUAAGUCAGCGGUUAAAUCGUGGGGCUCAACCCCAUUCUGCCGUUGAUACUGGGUGGCUUGAUUGCGGUCGAGGUUGGCGGAAUUCGUUGUGGAGCGGUGAAAUGCAUAGAUAUGACGAAGAACACCGAUUGCGUAGGCAGCUGACCAGACCGCAAAUGACGCUCAUGCACGAAAGUGCGGGGAUCGAACAGGAUUAGAUACCCUGGUAGUCCGCACAGUAAACGAUGAAUACUUGUUUUCGGCGAUAUAAUGUCGGAGGCAAAGCGAAAGCGAUAAGUAUUCCACCUGGGGAGUACGCCGGCAACGGUGAAACUCAAAUGAAUUGGCGGGG